rnacentral:rRNA from 1 species
GGAUUAGAUACCCUGGUAGUCCAUGCCGUAAACGAUGAGUGUUCAACGUUGGAGAUUAUUUUCUUCAGUGUUCAAGCUAACGCGUGAAACACUCCGCCUGAGGAGUACGGCCGCAAGGUUGAAACUCAAAGGAAGUGACGGGAGCCCGCACAAGCAGUGGAGCAUGUGGUUUAAUUCGAAACAACGCGCAGAACCUUACCAGCUCUUGACAUAUAAACUGUGGUUAGUAGAGAUAUUAUCCAUAUCAAAGUUUUUACAGGUGUUGCAUGGCUGUCGUCAGCUCGUGCUG